rnacentral:rRNA from 1 species
UUCGGGGCAGCGGCGGACGGGUGAGUAACGCGUGGGAAUGUGCCCUUUGGUACGGAACAACUGAGGGAAACUUCAGCUAAUACCGUAUGUGCCCUUCGGGGAAAGAUUUAUUGCCAUUGGAGCAGCCCGCGUUGGAUUAGGUAGUUGGUGGGGUAAAGGCCCACCAAGCCGACGAUCCAUAGCUGGUCUGAGAGGAUGAUCAGCCACACUGGGACUGAGACACGGCCCAG